UACGUAGGGGGCGAGCGUUGUCCGGAUUUAUUGGGCGUAAAGAGCGUGUAGGCGGUUCGGUAAGUCUGUCGUGAAAUCCUGAGGCUCAACCUCGGGCGUGCGAUGGAUACUGCCGGGCUAGAGGGUGGUAGAGGCGAGUGGAAUUCCCGGCGUAGCGGUGAAAUGCGCAGAUAUCGGGAGGAACACCAGUAGCGAAGGCGGCUCGCUGGGCCACACCUGACGCUGAGACGCGAAAGCUAGGGGAGCGAACAGG
rnacentral:rRNA from 1 species